rnacentral:rRNA from 1 species
GAUGAACGCUGGCGGCGUGCCUAAUACAUGCAAGUCGAGCGAACAGACGAUGAGCUUGCUCCUCUGACGUUAGCGGCGGACGGGUGAGUAACACGUGGAUAACCUACCUAUAAGACUGGGAUAACUUCGGGAAACCGGAGCUAAUACCGGAUAAUAUAUUGAACCGCAUGGUUCAAUAGUUAAAGACGGUUUUGCUGUCUCUUAUAGAUGGAUCCGCGCCGCAUUAGCUAGUUGGUAAGGUAACGGCUUACCAAGGCAACGAUGCGUAGCCGACCUGAGAGGGUGAUCGGCCACACUGGAACUGAGACACGGUCCAGACUCCUACGGGAGGCAGCAGUAGGGAAUCUUCCGCAAUGGGCGAAAGCCUGACGGAGCAACGCCGCGUGAGUGAUGAAGGUCUUCGGAUCGUAAAACUCUGUUAUUAGGGAAGAACAAAUGUGUAAGUAACUAUGCACGUCUUGACGGUACCUAAUCAGAAAGCCACGGCUAACUACGUG